rnacentral:rRNA from 1 species
UACGUAGGGGGGCUAGCGUUGUCCGGAUUUAUUGGGCGUAAAGAGCGUGUAGGCGGCCAGGUAGGUCUGCUGUGAAAACUCGAGGCUCAACCUCGAGACGUCGGCGGAAACCAUCUGGCUAGAGUCCGGAAGAGGAGAGUGGAAUUCCUGGUGUAGCGGUGAAAUGCGCAGAUAUCAGGAAGAACACCCGUGGCUAAGGCGGCUCUCUAGUACGGUACUGACGCUGAGACGCGAAAGCGUGGGGAGCGAACAGG